GUGGGGAAUUUUGGACAAUGGGCGCAAGCCUGCUCCAGCAAUGCCGCGUGUGUGAAGAAGGCCUUCGGGUUGUAAAGCACUUUUGUCCGGAAAGAAAUGGCCUGGGUUAAUACCCCGGGUCGAUGACGGUACCGGAAGAAUAAGCACCGGCUAACUACGUGCCAGCAGCCGCGGUAAUACGUAGGGUGCGAGCGUUAAUCGGAAUUACUGGGCGUAAAGCGUGCGCAGGCGGCGAUGAAAGACAGAUGUGAAAUCCCCGGGCUCAACCUGGGAACUGCAUUUGGGACUGCAUGGCUAGAGUGCGUCAGAGGGGGGUGGAAUUCCGCGUGUAGCAGUGAAAUGCGUAGAUAUGCGGAGGAACAACGAUGGCGAAGGCAAUCCCCUGGGCCUGCACUGACGCUCAUGCACGAAAGCGUGGGGAGCAAACAGGAUUAGAUACCCGGGUAGUCC
rnacentral:rRNA from 1 species